ensembl:antisense 9530026P05Rik RIKEN cDNA 9530026P05 gene
AAUCUCAAGGAAGCACUCGGGGCACCAGGAUUCCCAGCACUUAGCUGGUGGGCAAAGGGGCUCAUCCCCCUCCCCACAUCCCACCUUCCCUCCUCCCAGUCUUCAGGAGUGCGGAGCUCCUGCCGGGAUCCAAGAGCAGGCUCUUGGUAGUCGAAGAAGGAUAUAACCUCCAGACCUGGAAUUUUAAGACGCAAGAACCAGCCAGCAAAUGUGGCAGCCGAGCAUGCGAGGCAAGCAAUCACAGCCAACAUUCCUGGGAUCUGUGACCUGUUCAUCUUUCUAAGGGGACAGGGGACCGUGAUGGCUGCUGAAAAAGGAACUGGCUUUUUAUUUGGAAGCUAUGAAACUUGAGGUUCUACUGAAAAGGAGAAGAGGCCGCUGGAGAUUAGGAAGCCAUGAAAAAACACCUUGAGAUUGAGACUGAGUCUACUCCCCAGCAUCAGGGAGGUCUGAAUCCAGCCCCCAGGACAGCCUCAAAGAGUCGUCCUUAGAGAGACCCACGCAGGGUCCUAAAAGGUCACUUCUCUUGUCAUCCAGAACCACUGUGAAGCUACAGAAGCGGAGUAGCUCUCCAGGGCACUGAAAAGCAUCAAAAGAUGCUCUUCCCCAGUGUGCAUAUUGGCUCUCACUUGUGAUAUCAACAGUACUGAUGUUUAAGGAAGCCUGCGGUUGGUGGCGGGAAUAAGGAGCCCUGCUCACUCUUACAGCCUGAUGUAUUUGUUCCAGUUUUGUUGUUCAUGACUCUAGAGAAGUGGGUCCCCCUUAUUUGGGGUACUGGUAUGUAUGGCAGCUGCAAGAGGUGAUACGUGGGAUUAAACAGAAUGAUUAGGUGCCUAAUCAUUUAUUCAUUUGUGAAAGUUCUAAACUUGUAAUUAUCAUGUAAAACCAUUCUUUUGGAAAUAGCUUCAGUGAUGUGUGUGCAUGUGAUAAACAUAUGCAAACAUUUGGCCGUAUUCACAUACAGGUUGAACAUCUCUAAUCUGAACAUCUAACAUUAAGAAAAAAAAAAAAGCUUCAACAUCUAAAAGGUUUUGAGUGCCAACAAAAUUAGACAAGUGGAAGAUUUAAUAACUGACCUCAUAUGGGUCAAUGAAACUUUGUUUCAUGUACAAAAUUAUUAAAAUACUCUACAAAAUUACCUACAAAGAAUGUGUGUAUAUAUGUAUAUAUUCAUAUAAACACAAAUGAUGGAUUUUGAGUUAAAACUCAUAUUCCAAACAUAAGAUAUCUCACUAUAAGUAGUGCAAAAUCUGAAAAAAGUUAAAAAUCCAAAAACUGUCUCUUCUUAAGCUUUUGGAUAAAGAGAGUCUUAAACUGUAUAGAUUUCUAGAUUUUAACACAGUAGCUACUAGCCUAUUCCACACGUAUUUCUUGUAUUCAGCUCUUAUCCUAACUCUGUGAAAGAAUUGCUAUCAUGGAAUGUAGCAAACGUGGAAGGACGGACUAGUAUACAAGUAAGACCCAAAGUGUCUGAUGAAUGACCACUGGACACUUUAUAGUAUUUAUGAAUGGAUGAAACUGACUUUCAGUCCAUCCCAGCCAUGCCAGUUAGCACUUCAUGUCAUUUGUGGGACAUUUCCAUCAUUGCAAGUGUUCUGUUGGUCAGCCCUGGAGACCCCAGGUCAAACUAGCUCACCAGUGAUACUAUGUGUCCUCUUAUGUACAGAGUGAUGUUCCUCCUAGAGAAUGCUGAGCAGUCAUUGGUCACAGUAGUACCAUUCCCAAGCAGAAGCAAUCAGAAACAUUUCCAGACAAUGCCCAAUGAUGGUUGGGAAAGGAAAAAGAAUCUCCCCUAGUUGAGAAUGAAUGCUCUGGUCUCACCCUAGGGGUUGUGAAAUGACAGAGGACUCGUGUAAGUAGCUUUAAAUACUUUGAGCUGAAAUUUCCUCACUGGAAAAAUAUACCACAUAUUUUCUUGGUGUUUUGUGACUAUUAAAAACUCGAGGCAGGUAAUUUGCCAGAGAGGGAAAGCACUGUAAAGAUUAGAACACAGCCCUUUGUCUCUAGCUGAAGAACACUGCUUUGGCUAAUAUGGCAAGUGGAAGCUUUGAGACAAGCUCUGUUGUCUCCUCACCUGCUCCCUGACUAUAGGCCUCCAUGUUUAAAUAACUCAAGGGCUGAGAAAAUGACAAGUUUCAUUAAUUGCUUAGAUACCAAAUUCUGGGGACUUGGAAUCCUUAAAAGAUUCUAUAUGAAAAAGACACAUGGAAAUCUAGUGCUAGAAAAGCUUCCUAAAAAUACACACACACACACACACACACACACACACACACACACACACACACACACACACGACCUGCAAAUCUGGAACUAGCUGUUUGACACCCCAGGGCCUGCUUACUAUAUGUGUACAGUAUGGGACACUUAGCUGCUGCCUGAGAGCCUCCUCCAUUCUAUUCAUCAGCCCAGUCAUGAAUGUUUCAUUCUGCACACUAAUCUACAUAGAUUUUUUUAAAAUAGAAGGUAAUUAACCAAAAGUUUCUACACAAACAUCAUUUUUCUAGGUUUCUUGUUCAUCAAAAAAAAACCUUAUUUUGAAAAAGGAAGCUGCCAUUAUGAAUCAAUCAAACCAUCCUAAUACCAAUAAACCCAAGCUAAGAAUGAUGUUAAAAAUGGUUUCAAAGGAAGAACUUUCUAAAUUAGUGCUAUUGGAGGGAAAGACAAUUGGAAAUUAAUAAAAUACUUUAAUUAAAAUAUGAGUU